GACGAACGCUGGCGGCGUGCUUAACACAUGCAAGUCGAACGGAAAGGCCCUGCUUUUGUGGGGUGCUCGAGUGGCGAACGGGUGAGUAACACGUGAGUAACCUGCCCUUGACUUUGGGAUAACUUCAGGAAACUGGGGCUAAUACCGGAUAGGAGCUCCUGCUGCAUGGUGGGGGUUGGAAAGUUUCGGCGGUUGGGGAUGGACUCGCGGCUUAUCAGCUUGUUGGUGGGGUAGUGGCUUACCAAGGCUUUGACGGGUAGCCGGCCUGAGAGGGUGACCGGCCACAUUGGGACUGAGAUACGGCCCAGACUCCUACGGGAGGCAGCAGUGGGGAAUAUUGCACAAUGGGCGGAAGCCUGAUGCAGCAACGCCGCGUGCGGGAUGACGGCCUUCGGGUUGUAAACCGCUUUCGCCUGUGACGAAGCGUGAGUGACGGUAAUGGGUAAAGAAGCACCGGCUAACUACGUGCCAGCAGCCGCGGUGAUACGUAGGGUGCGAGCGUUGUCCGGAUUUAUUGGGCGUAAAGGGCUCGUAGGUGGUUGAUCGCGUCGGAAGUGUAAUCUUGGGGCUUAACCCUGAGCGUGCUUUCGAUACGGGUUGACUUGAGGAAGGUAGGGGAGAAUGGAAUUCCUGGUGGAGCGGUGGAAUGCGCAGAUAUCAGGAGGAACACCAGUGGCGAAGGCGGUUCUCUGGGCCUUUCCUGACGCUGAGGAGCGAAAGCGUGGGGAGCGAACAGGCUUAGAUACCCUGGUAGUCCACGCUGUAAACGGUGGGUACUAGGUGUGGGGUCCAUUCCACGGGUUCCGUGCCGUAGCUAACGCUUUAAGUACCCCGCCUGGGGAGUACGGCCGCAAGGCUAAAACUCAAAGGAAUUGACGGGGCCCCGCACAAGCGGCGGAGCAUGCGGAUUAAUUCGAUGCAACGCGUAGAACCUUACCUGGGUUUGACAUGGAUCGGGAGUGCUCAGAGAUGGGUGUGCCUCUUUUGGGGUCGGUUCACAGGUGGUGCAUGGCUGUCGUCAGCUCGUGUCGUGAGAUGUUGGGUUAAGUCCCGCAACGAGCGCAACCCUUGUUCACUGUUGCCAGCACGUUAUGGUGGGGACUCAGUGGAGACCGCCGGGGUCAACUCGGAGGAAGGUGGGGAUGACGUCAAGUCGUCAUGCCCCUUAUGUCCAGGGCUUCACGCAUGCUACAAUGGCUGGUACAGAGAGUGGCGAGCCUGUGAGGGUGAGCGAAUCUCGGAAAGCCGGUCUCAGUUCGGAUUGGGGUCUGCAACUCGACCUCAUGAAGUCGGAGUCGCUAGUAAUCGCAGAUCAGCAACGCUGCGGUGAAUACUUUCCCGGGGCU
rnacentral:rRNA from 1 species